GCCACCACCAGACACACACACACACACACACACACACAGUGGGUCAGCUGCCUAUUACCUGCACUGACCAUUUGCAUUGUGGGAAACUGAGGCCCAGAACCUGGACUAAAUCACUUUAUGACUCUUGGUUAUAGAUUCAGACUUGGAGAACCUUGCAAGUAAAUAGUUAACCUUGCUUCUGCUAAAUUUUGCUCAUUUUGAUUAGCUUGAGACCCUUCCCAAAUCUCAGUUCAGCCCUUCCUGCCACCACUCAAGCAUGUAGCCCACAAUUUUCCAAGUCUUCCCUAAUAAGUGCACUUUAUUUUGGUCAAAAUUUUAGGAAACAUUUAGUCUCUGUUUUGCUAAGUGAGUUUUCUCUGGGUUACAUAAGGAGAGAACAGACCAGGCUGAAGGGCACACGUGGACCAAGAGACCAGCCGAGGUGCCCGUCUUUUUAUGACUGUUACUUGAUGAAAGGCACAGAGUGCCUUAGUAGUCAGUGAGUGUCUGGCUAUUGUUAUUGAUUAGACUGGACCCACUUUUCCUUAAAUGAACCUUUGUGAGCCUAUUCUAAUUUAUAAAAUGCUCUUGAUGUGAAUGAUCUCACUUGGUUGUUUUCCUCUACCGGGAGUUGGAGGUAGCUGUUACUGAUCAGCCCUGUGGGGAGACUGUGGCUGAGAAGAUUGGCAUGUUGGCCCAGAGCCUUGACCUAAGAAAAGCCCACCUACCCUCACCCUCAGGGGAUUCUUUUUCUGGGCAGCUGCUUCCUGCCAUCUCGUGGCUUGGCUGGGCUUCUGGCAGCCAGGCUUCAGCAUGGGCCACUCAUGUCACAUUCCACACCGACUCUGUCCAUUGAGAGUGCUGCUCCAGGCUCUGAACAGUGGCCAGCUGAGGAUGGAAUAUGGCACCUGUUCACCAGCCACAACAGCUCGACAGCUUUCCAGGUUGAAAAUAGUCACCCUGUCAUCCUGUCACAGUGACCACAGGAAAGGGGAGAGAAUUCACGUCUCCCCAGAUGCAGUUGGCAUUUCCCCACAAGUGCCUGCCAGGCAGAUCAGGCAGGUUAAGCCAAACUCCAGAAGUUGAUCUGGGGCACCUCUGUUUCUUUUGGCCACAGGCCUUCAGUUUUUCUUUCUGAGUCAGCAUUCUUGGGGGCCUGUGAGGACUCUGGUUCAUUGCAUUCAGCUGAUUACAGACUUCUUUGAAACUGGAAAGUAUCAGAUAUCUUCUCCAGGGUUUCAGCCUUGUCCUGAUGGUGUUCACAACCUCCAAGAGCCAACAACAUAUUCUGAGCAUCUACUCUGUAUCUGACACCAUGCUAGGCAUUGGGCAAGCAAAAAUAAAACACCAUUUUUGAUUUUG